AGAGAAGGGCUGAUAACCAAGACAACGACACAAAGAUGGCGACAGAUUCCACUGCGGGACGCCAACAGGAGUCCAGAUUAACAGAUCGUCCUGCGGAGUACCAGAACCGUGUCCGUUACAACGGGACGACGACCGGCCUGACACCACGACAUCACCACCACCGACCCAUCAUCGCCAUGGGCGGUAUGGAGAGAGGACCUAGCAGCAGCCAGGUGUGGAACCCCUCCUCUGUUUUCUGUAUGGACAGAGCAGAGCCCCCCCUGCUGACCUGGUGGUUCACCUGCAGGACUGGGAUGGGGAGAGGGGGAAAACCCCAGUCCACUGGAGAGGAGUGGCACACCAUACAGGACGCUUGGGUGCAGCUGUUUCAAGGUCGAUGCCUGACUUACUGACUACAGGCGUGUGACUGACAGCUCGGCUGUCGGCGGCAUGCUCUCGCGCUGUCCUGCUGUCAGUCACUCUGGAGAUGGGUUCUGCGCCAGGCGACCGGAGCAGCAACAGCAGAAAGGUAGAUUUAUACAGAUUUCUUCGUUUAUAUAAUGUAUGUUUUGGGCUGUUGUUUCUGUUUUUCUUUUUGUCUAUUUAAUUGUCGGAAUUAUCUUUAUUUUUUAUUUUGUUUAAUCGAAGACAAUAGGCUACUUUUGCUUUUGGUUAGUCUACCUGGCUGUUUUUAUUGAGCACAUACUGUCAUGUAGAACGUUUGUCUAGAAGCCGACGUCGG
rnacentral:lncRNA from 1 species